GAGUUUGAUCCUGGCUCAGGAUGAACGCUGGCGGCGUGCCUAACACAUGCAAGUCGAGCGGGAAUCGUCCAAAGGAAACUUCGGUAGACUGAGGGCGAGGAUAGCGGCGGACGGGUGAGUAACGCGUGGGUAACCUGCCCUUCACACAGGGAUAGCCUCGGGAAACCGGGAUUAAUACCUGAUAAAGCGGUGAAGACACAUGUCUUUACGGCCAAAGAUUUAUCGGUGAAGGAUGGACCCGCGUCUGAUUAGCCAGUUGGCAGGGUAACGGCCUACCAAAGCGACGAUCAGUAGCCGACCUGAGAGGGUAAACGGCCACAUUGGAACUGAGACACGGUCCAAACUCCUACGGGAGGCAGCAGUGGGGAAUACUGCACAAUGGGGGAAACCCUGAUGCAGCAACGCCGCGUGAGCGAAGAAGGUCUUCGGAUCGUAAAGCUCUGUCCUGAAGAAAGAGAAGAAGACG
rnacentral:rRNA from 1 species